CUUGUCUCUUCCUGUAACACACUAAAGAAGUCUUAGCCUAUAAUAGCUGCCUUCCUCUGAACUCUCGUGACACGGUGUCAGAAGUCUGAGUUUGAAUCCACAAAAUUAGGAAACGGCUCACUUACCUGCACCGGAAGCCUUCAGCUUUGGCAAUCCUGCUGCCUGGCCAGAAUAGAAAGAAAGAUUUGCCUGCUUCAGACUACCUACAAAGUUCCACAAAGAAGCAGGCAUUGUACAACAGAGGAUACUGAGCAUAUACCUGCUCCUGAACCAGGCUUUUCAGAGAUGGAGGCUAAAGAAGAGUGACAAGAGAUGAUGUUCCAAACUGUCUGGAAAAAUUGAAUACUAGCAGAUCACCAGGGCAAGACGGCAUCCAUCCAAGAGUCCUUAAAGAACUCAAAUGACCUUCAAAGCAGAUUUGAUUAUUUCACUUUCAAGUAAUAAUUUGCUUCUUGCCAAAGUCAGAAACAAAACGAUGCAUUUCAAAGUCUUUCAUGAUGAUAAAAAGUGAGUUCUGUUAAUGUCUUUAUUCCUUUUCCCAAGAAUGUACUUUGCUGAAAACUGAACUGCACACAUAUCCUUAGUAUUGUGCUUCCUAGCUACUGGGUUUUUAAAAAAAUUAUUAUUAGGGGGGGGAAACACACAAUUGAACACUUUUAUACCAUCAGCCAGAGAAGCUUUUAUUCCAAGCCUGAUCACGUUGUCUGUUUCAAGCAUGUCAAAAAUAGUCACACACUCAUGAUCUGCCACAUUACUGCUCACCUCUUAUUUUCCCAAAUAAGGAGUGUAACACAAACCUCACUUGUAUGAUCUAUAUAUAAAAUGGGAACAAUCUGAAUAUACCUGCUUUUAUUUUCAUAUUUGCAAGCCCUCAUUUGAAGGUUUCCACUCUGCCAUAAUUAGUGCGACAAUCCAGCAUAUUGCUAGUUGUUGAGGUAUAAAACAGUUACAAUCAAACUUUUCCCUUGACCUCAAAUUGAUACUCUAACAAGAUCAGAGUCAACAUUUAAGUGUCUAAAAAAAAAUCUUCAUUCUCAAAACAGUUGUUUGUCCUUUAAAAAACAAAAAGGACAGAAGCAGACUGUGGAAAUGGAGAAUCAUGUUUUACUUCUACACAACUCCUGCUUCCCCCCCCCAAAAAAAUAUAUUCUGUGCAAAAUUUAGUUUCGUGUAGGUCUGUACCAUAUUUUGGAAAAAGACACCCUAUAAAAUAUACUUAAUUGUGAAACACAACCCCAACAGCAGACAACAAAGGAAGAAGAACAGAUCAUAGAGCCAAACCUUUUUUUUUUUAACAUGAAACUAGACAUAGUAUGUUCUUAAAGCUCCAGUAAUACAUUCCAUGGAAGGAAACACACACACACACACACACACACACACACACCAAACCCAAAAUGCACUUUGGUCAUUAUUAAACAUUAGUACAACAAAUAAAAUACAAAAUGCUUAUGUUGCUUUAUAUAUAAAAAUACCUUAUACCACACAUUUGAUAUAUCUCAGUAAUUCUGAUAUAUAUGUUUUAGGGUGAUUUUUAUUUUUAAAUAGCAACAUUGUUUUCUGCUGCUUACCGUCCAAAAGAGAUGUACUUUGGAAUAGUAAGCACAAUGCACACAUAAUCUAAUAAUAUUUUAGGAAUGCCAAACUUGAUUUUAACACAAUUUCUUAUUACAGUUUCAUAGUAUAAUCUAAAAUAAUGGCUGUAAAGAAUUUUUUGCUUUGUCAUAUUAAAAUAAAAAGCAGUUAAUUAAUCACACUCCUAAAUCCAAGAACCAAAAUAGGUUCAGUUAUCUGCCAAACUAACAUUAUCUUCCUUUAAAAAAAAAAAUCUGUUUACUAGCUUAGUGGAUUGUGGGAAUGCUUUGCUGUCAUUUAUCUUGAUUUCAACAAAGCAUUUGACAAAGUUCCCUGUGAUAUUUUGGUUAGCAAACUCAAAUGUGGGCUAGAUGAUACCAACUCAGACAACAGAAAUGGCCAGGGCACAUGCGGGGCCCGAACACCCUGAAAAUGGGCUGAAAGAGCCUUUGGAAGAGUGGGGGAGAUGGCAGAGAUAUCCUCUCCUCCAUUGCCGCGGCAGCACCCCCUGAGACCGCCAGACUCGGCUUCGAGGAGGAGUUGCUGCUUUUUAAAUUGGAAACUUUAAAACUCCUAGACUGGCUUGAAUUUGAGCUGAGCCGAGGGUCUGUUAGGGGGCACAAAACCAAACAUGCCCAGUUCCGUUUGAGUCCAGUUUGGACUUGAAUUGAACCGGGCAAACCAGUUUUGUGCAGACCCCUAGCUACCAUCAGGUCGAUUCUCAAGUGAAUGGAAACCUUCUGUAUUUUCCCCCCCUUUGUUGUAGUAUUGUGGAACUUUAGAAUACAUUUUUUAAUUGUUAUAUUGUAUUUUUAGAUAAACUAAAGUCAGUUUUGUUAAAAUGAAAAUUAGAAUUUCAAUUGUUGCUUGCUUUACAAUGUUAACCAGUUCCUUUUUUAUAUUUUGUGUGUGGUAUAAGUCACAUAUACUACAGUGUACUAUGGGAGAGCAUUAAACUUAAGCCUACGUAAUGUACCUUCUCUCUUUCAACAUUCCAUAGUAUUCAUCUUGCAAGGCAGCAUUAUUGCACCACAGUCCACCAUAAUAUAUUCUAUUUAGUAUAUAUAAAGAUAAUUAAAGUAAAAAAUAAAAGUGCACAUAUUGAGCGGCACAGUCAGAGCUGUGCAAACAGCCCAGUGUUUGAAAUAAAUACCAUAGCUAAUAUUUAUCAAAACAUAUUUUAGACAUGUUAACAGCUUACAGUUAUUGCUCUAAUAAAAAUGUUAUCAAAGAGCACUUAUUGACCUGUUAUGUAAUACCUUAUUAAUAUUAAGUGGAUGCUUAAACUUCAGAUCAAUGUGUUUAGGAUCCUGGUUAAGAUCCUGGUGGUAAGAAACCUGCUGGCUCUAACAUUUACAUUUCUAUAUAUAAAAAUUUUGUAGCUACCUGGCCUAUGCAUUGUCAUUACAGUAAAUGUCACUUUCUACUGUAACCAACAAUAUGCUGGUGCUCUGAAACUACCCCUGAAAGGAUGGAACACAAUAAAAUGUUCUAAACAUUUUAUAGUUCAUGUUCAAUAAAGUGACUUCAGCAUGACAUUGUUGAAGUAUAAAAGCCUAGCAUUAGGGCUUUAACUUUCACAACAGAUGAAGCACAGUUGUUAUUUGAGCAAUUUAGUGUGAUCAAUUACCAGGAUCUCAAGUAUCUGGAUCUCAAUUUUUGACCCUUUCAAUUACCAAAGCAUAUUCAUGUUUCAAAAUAAAAUACAAUGUCUGCUAAAAUAAAGUUUACAAAAAAUAAAAAGAUAAAAUAAAUAUAAAGAUUGCACAAAGACAGUCAGAUGUAAACACUUCAGUUUUCCCCCAAACGAUAUCCUUGAAGAAAUCGUUAACAUCUGAAAUAAGGAAUCAGUGACUGCUUGAGAGGCAGCAUAGUCUUAUCGGCUCUUGUUUCCAGAGGGUUGUGCCAGUUUCUUUUUGCAAAGUGUCAGGAUUUGAUCUUCCAGAGCUGAAAGUUAGGCAGCAGAGAACACAUUUAGGUUUAGGUUUAACUGCAGUUUUGCUGUUCACUUUUAUUCUUUCUCUUACAUGCUAAUAAACUGUAUUUCAGGGGUAUCUAACUGUGGCUUCCAGCUGUGAUUGGCCUACAAUCAUCCCUGGCUACUAGCCACGGUGACUGGGAAUGAUAGGAAUUGUAAGCCAACAACAGCUGGAGGGUCGCAAAUGGACACCCCUGGUAGAGAUAAAUGUUAUUUUUAUAAUGCACCCAAUAAAGCUAAGUUUUAAGGUCCAAAGCUGAAAAAUGACUAAGCUUCAACUCUAUACACAGUUACUUAGGUGCAACCCCGACUGAACAGAGUUAAACUUACUUCUGAGUAAAGAUGCACAGGACUGUGCUGUGACAACUGUGAAUGCUAGUUUGCCAUGAUACUAAGAAUUAAAGCAACUUAUGUGAUGAUGAACCAUCCAGAGAUUUGUAUCACAGGCUGUUUUGGAGUACCACCCCACUGAUCCAGAACAAAACUAAGCUGUUGACAAAAAAUAUGGAUCAGGAACUAAACGAUAAAUUUUAUGAGAUAAGUGAAUUGAAAGUGGAGAAGAAAAUUAAAUAUUUGGGCAUCUGGUUGACAAGCAAAAACUCUUUAUUGUUUUUAAAUAACUAUAUUAAAAUAUGGACUACAGUGAGAACUGAUUUGCAAAGAUGGGGUAGAAUGAAUUUCUCUUUAAUGGGAAGAAUUUCAGUGGUAAAGACGAAUGUCUUACCUAAGAUGUUAUUUCUUUUCCAGACUAUUCCUAUAAUUAAUAUGUUAACUUGUUUCAAGCAAUAGCAAAAGGAUAUAACUAAAUUUGUUUGGCAAGGGAAAAGACCGAGAAUUAUAUUUAAGAAUUUAACAGAUGUAAAAGAAAGAGGUGGUCGUACCCUGCCAGAUUUAAGGUUGUAUUUUGAUGCUGUUUGUUUGACAUGGUUGAAGGAAUGGAUAACAUUAAGAAAUCCCAGACUUGACCUGGAAGGAUUUGACAGAAGGUUUGGCUGGCAUUCAUAUUUGUGGUAUGAUAAAGUCAAAGUACAUAAAGACUUUCUUAAUCAUUAUGUAAGAAGGAGUCUGAUGGGAGUAUGGGUAAAAUAUAAAGAAUGGUUGGAGUGUAAAACUCCAUUAUGGGUAUCCCCGAUCAAGCCUUUGGCACGUAAAGAGAUAAACAUGCAAUCUAAAUGGGGUACUUAUAGGAUCUGUUAUGUUUUCAAGAGAAGGGCUGUAAAUUAAAAAAAACUGAGUGAAGUACGAAGUAUGGUUAGUAAUUGGUUUCAGUAUCAUCAGCUAAAUAAAAUUUAUAAAAAGGAUCUUAAGGUUGGGUUUGUAGAUCAAAUUUCGAGAUUUGAGAAGGAGAUGUGUGAAAACGAUGAAAGAUUAGUCUCCAAGAUGUAUAAGUUGUUGCUUUUGGAGGAGACAAGAGAGGAAGUGGUCAAAACGACAAUGAUAAAAUGGGCUCAAGAUGUAGGUCACAAUAUAGAUAUGGCUGCUUGGGAAAACAGAUUUAAGAUUUACUGCAAGUUAUACCUUAAAAGAAAAUUAUUAUAAGAUGAUGUAUAGGUGGUAUUUGACAAUGGAAAAAUUAGCAUUGAUGUAAAAAAAUGUUUCAAACAAAUGUUGGAAAUGUGGAGAAUGUGAAGGAAAUUUUCUGCAUAUGUGGUGGUCAUGCAGGAGGGCAAAGGCCUUUUGGGAUAUGAUAUAUAAUGAUCUGAAGAAAAUUCUCAAAACGACAUUUUUCAAAAGGCCUGAGUGCUUCCUGCUGGGAAUAAUACAAGAGCAUCUAAGAAGAAAUUUAACAUUUUUAAUGUAUGCAACCACAGCAGCCAGGAUAGUUUAUGCGCAGAAGUGGAAAGAUGCUAAAAUGCCCUCAAAAGAAGACUGGUUUAUAAAAAUUUUGGAAUUUGCUGAGAUGGCAAAGCUUACAACAUUUAUAAGAGAUGACAAUUUCAAAUGCUUUAAAGAAUACUGGGAACCCAUUUUGCUCUAUUUAAAGAAUUAUUUUCCCAAUAUGGACUUCUCAGUAGGGUUUAAAAUAUAGUAAUAGCAGCAGGUUGGGGUGGGUAAAAAUCAAGCAGUAUUGAAUACAGUUUGUAAAUGUUGAAUUAUUAUAGCAGUGCACUAUAUGUAUAGUUAUUGUGAACCGUGAAGAUAGGUGAGCUGGAAGUCAACAUUUAUUUAUGUGUAGAGUUAGGAAAUGAAUGCAAUUGAAUCUAAAAGUUAUUGUAAAAUCUAAUAAAAGUUUAAAAUGCAAAAAAAAAGAGGAGAAGAUAUUAAGGGUAUGAUCCUGCACCUAAAGACAGAAGCUGUGACGUUGUAGUACAUGGACAUGUUCUGCAUCUAGUCAACAAGCUAGCUUAGAACAGAGCGAUAUGCUGUAGAAGAACUGUUUAGCUGAACAUGCUGGAACUCAGAAGUCUAAAACCGAUAGUAAGUAGAUACUUUGGUGCCAAUGGAAUAUGUUUUUCACUCCACUGAAAUGAUGCUUUAGGCCUCCAGCUGACCUGCCAUACCCAGGUACUAUCUCUGAUCAUCCGAGGAAGCCAGGAAUAAUGAAAUGUUGUUGUUCUUUAGCCAUGGCUACAUUAGUUAAGCCACUUUUAAAACACAGCAAGACAGUGCUUAAUCUUCAUACACUGUAAAUAAAUACUCAACGUACGACAUCACAAUUCAUGUAUGUAUAACCAUAUUACAGAAUUAUUAUUAUUUUCAGGUUUCAGACAAAUCCCUAAAGGCAAAUAUUUAGGACUGGGGUUCAAGGAAGCUUGCUUGUUUGUUUGUUUGUUUAAUUUUUAGACCGCCCUUACAAAAUAGCUCAGGGCGGUUCACAAACAUCAAAGACCCUUUAAAACAAUUUAAGAGCACUGGAAGGCCAGGCCAAACAGGUAGGUCUAUAGGGCUCUCUUAAAUUCCAAUAAAGAAUUCAAUUUACGGAUGUCUGCAGGGAGUGCAUUCCACAGUCCAGGAGCGGCUACAGAGAAGGCCCGCCUCUGGGUUGCCACCAGAUGAGCUGGUGGCAACUGGAGCCAGACCUCCUCAGAUGAUCUAAGAAAUCAGAUGAAAUCAUAAAAAAAUUCUGUAUACAACAUAACUCAAAGAGAAAACCAAUACCAUGAAUUAAAAAAUGAAUCAGUUAUUUUAAACAAUAUGCAUCAGCUACUAGUUACAAAUGAGGUUCCUGGUUUUUAAGACUACAGUAAUUAUUUAUUCCUUAUUUAUUCAACAUAUGCUGAACAUAUACUGAGAUGAGCUGGAUUGGAAGAAGAUGAGCGUGGUUUUAAAGUUGGAGGAAGAAACAUCAAUAACCUGUGCAACACUGAUUGCACCUCUCUGAUACCUGAGAAUGCGGAUGAUCUGCAAGCUCUAGUAAUGAAAGUUAAGAAGCACAGUGGGAAAUAUGGAACUACGAUUAAAUGUAAAGAAGACUAAACUGAUGACAACAGGUAUAGCAACCAGACUCAGAACUGAUAAUAAAGACAUUGUAGUGGUGGAUAGCUUCUGCCUUUUAGGAUCGACCAUCAACAGUAAAGGAUCCAGCAGUCAAGAAAUACGCCACAUACUAGCACUUGGUAGGGUUGCAAUGAAGGCCUUGGAAAGGAUAUUUAGAUGCCAUGACGUGUCUAUACCUACAAAGAUUAGAAUCGUUCGGACAAUGGUUUUUCCCGUGACACUCUAUGGAUGUGAAAGCUGGACUUUGAAGCAGCAAGAUAGAAAAGGUAUUGAGGCUUUUGAACUUUGGUGCUGGAGAAGACAUUUGAGGAUACCAUGGACAGCCAGGAAAACAAACAAAUGGAUCAUAGAACAAAUCAAUCCAGACUUUUCACUAAAUGGAGGCACAAAUGACCAGGCUCAAACUAUCAUACUUUGGACACAUUAAGCGAAGACCCAGCUCCCUUGAGAAGUCCAUAAAGCUGGGGAAAGUUGAAGGAAAGAGAAGAAGAAGAUGACCAGCAGCAAGGUGGAUGACGAUCAUGACAGCAGUGAAUGCACCACUGAGAGACCUCAAAGGCCAAGUUGAAGACAGAUCAUUCUGGAGAGAAUCUAGCUAUGUGGUCGCUAAGUGUUGACACCAACUUGAUGGCACUUAAUCCACUAAUCAAUCCAAAAAUAUUAAUGAAUACAAUACCUUUAGAUUAAAUCCAAGCAAGUCACUGAUGACACCAGAAACAGCAGAGAGAAUGACAACUUGAGUGAUGUUAUAAAGCAGAGGAUUCAUUGUCAAUCCAUAUAACCUGAAGGGACUGUCCAAUUCCUACCAAUGAAAAAUAUAUUUAUACAAAUUGAGAUAUCUGAAAUUUCACAUACUAGGUAAUAUCUCUUCCAAACACAUUUGUGGUACAUGGUUGAGACUUUAGAAGGUCUCAACCAAUCACAUUCGUGGUUGAGACUUUAGAAGGUCCACCACCACAACAACAUUUCCUCUGCCUGCUGUGACAGUAAUUACUUUAUACUAGUGGGGCUGGGCGCAGAGCAUCUGCGCCUCUAGCUGGACACAGCCGUUCCCCGCCGUCUCGGGGACUGGGGGCAGAGCCAGCGGUGCCGCCGCCACCGGCUCCUUCCGCCUCCCCCCCCCACCAUGCCGCCGCCUCCUCCUCCCUCCACACCCCCCUAGAGUGCCACCGCCGCGGGCAGGCGGGCCGAGAGUGCCGCCGCCGCCACGGCCAGCUGGGCCGAGAGUGCCGCUGCAGCCUGGCCCGCCGCCUUGCCUCCGCAGCCGCCCAGCCAGGCAGUUCUCCUGGGUGCGCCAGGACCAAUCAGGCGCCCCCGCAGCCCAGCCAAUCAGCUGGGCUGCCGGGACGCAUUUUUCCUGGGCACACCCAGGAGAAAUAUAUAUAUAUAGAUAGGAUGCCUCUGACCCCACACCUAGAGGCAGGAGUUAUGGAGUUCUAGUACACGUCCUGCAUAAAGCCAGCCAGCUAAGUCAGAACUGAUCCAUAUGCAGCUGAAGAACUGUUAGAUGAAAUUGUUAACUGAAGUGAAAAAUGCAAAAAGGUCAAAACCAAAAAUGGACAGCAGUUCUAGAACUGCAUAUGGGCAAGUUCUUAGUGCGCUCGUAGCUACAUGAUGGAAAUUAUGUGUACAGUCUCACAGCCGACCUGCCUGAAAGUUACUUGCAGAGCCACACAUGAUGUCUGCAAAAAUAAAGAUGUCAGUUGUGACAUCUGUAUAGACUAUGCUGUGAAGAUUCUUCAGAAACAUAGGUUUGAUGGAAUGCCCCAAGUUUGGUCAGUCUUUCACCAUAAAGACACACUCCUAUGCACAUUUAUUGUAUAGUCCCAUUGAUCUCAUUAAGACUUGCCUAUUCUAUGGCAGGGCGGGGACUCAGAGAAAGUUUGUGCAGCCCACAGAUGAUCUGCAACUCUCAUACAACUUGCACCUACAUCUAACAUCCAGCUUGGCAGAUGGCAGCCAGAAGGGAAACAUUUUUACACUAAGCAUCUGCACUACUUUAAAAAUGGAAUAAAAUAAUUGUAUUUUGAAGGUUAGAUGGGCGGUGGGGGGAGCCUUCUAUACUUCCUCCCGAGUGCUGCCCACAAACUUCCUAUGUUUAAUAAAGAACUGCAUCCCAAGAAUCCAAGACUGAGAACCAGCUGCCAUUCAUACUGCACUGUGAAAGUAUUAGCAUAGCACUCGUGGUAUCUGCUCACCCUAGCUUCCUUACUCUUUAUUGGAAGUGUGUGGAAAAAAGAACAGUAUUGCAUGGGCAAAGAUAGGAAGGUAACACUGUUAGUAAAACAUGAUGCUCAAAGACAGAACCACAACAAAUGGUUAAACGCUAUACAACAGCAGCAUUCCUUUGGUGAAUCUGGGUGAAGUAAUUAAACACCUUAAGCUACAGCAAAAACAGUAUUUUAAUAUAGCAGAUUGCUUAUGCAAAUAUAAUAGUAUUUUUCUUAUAUGUGGAUGUUUUAUAAAUUGCUUGUAUAUGUAGUUUAAAUAUGGCUUGAAAACAGCCAAUAGAAACUGAAUUUGAGAAUAAUAUGCUUUUUUAGUAUUGUGUCAAGCAAUUCAAAUAACUUGCCUGGUGGAUUGAAUCUUAUAAGCUGCAUUUUGAAAUGGAAGCCAAAUUUCUCUAAACCUAGAUAUCCCCAAUGAGAUAUCUAAUUUUAAGGAGAGUGAACUUCUCUAUUUGCAUUGCUUCCUACCUUCAGGUAUAUCUGGAUAUGUAAAGUUUACUGAUGGUUUUAAUAAAACUUCAUUUAUUUUGGAGACAAGCAUAACUCACUGACUGACAUCCAGACUAGCACUACAUUGGUGUAACUGUGGCUGAUAUCCAGACUAAAGCUGCACUGCUGCCUGAUUGGCGGGGUAGGGGGAGAUUUUCACCUAUGUCCUCUUCCCCUCUGAAGUUCCUGAAAAUGUGCCCCUGAAGCCUGUGGGACAUAUUUUUGAGAGGCGCAGGGGGCUUCAAAGUGAAGGGGAGACUGGUGAAAAUCACCACAAACCCCUGCACCACCAGCAAGCCUGGAUGUCAGUCACUGUCUUCCCAAGAGCUCUUUGAAGGAAUGCAGGCUAAGCUAGCUCUAUCCCUUUUUUAUUGUAGGAUUUGUUUUAUUGUUUGCAUACACUGGCUUUUUAUUUUUAUGUAAACUGCUGGGGCAUCUUUUGGACUCGAAACUGUAGGGAUGCAUGUAUGCAUGCAUCUAUGUGUGAGUAUACAUACUUAUUGUAGGACUGAUAUAUGUAUAAGUAAUUUUAAGUGGCAGAGCGCAAAUGGCAAAGCAGUUGGGAAAAGAAAGACCACCACCCAAAUAGGUAAAUGUGCUCAUGGAAAACAAGAGCUAUUUACAAAUACGUAUGCAUGUCAAUGUCCCAUUCCCCCACCUCCAAUACCUUGAGUAAUUUUGUAGCAAGUUUUAAAACAUUGUUUACUAAUGUCAGUUCUUCCUUCUUGUUCGGUUUCUUUUCCAUUUUCAAGUACAGAUUUAUCUAGCAGAGGGGGAAAAAAUAAAUUUUGUCACAUUAAUUCUUUCCAGACUCUUAAGUCAGCUGCAUGAUUUGAAAUCUGAGCAUCUGCAGCAAGCUUUUCUUUCACCAGUAACUAAAAUGGACCUCUCAUUUCAGAAAUGAAGUCAUGUUCAGAGUAAAUGACUCUGGGACAGUGUUCCCUCUAACAGGAAUUCCCAGAUGUUGUUGACUACAACUCCCAGCAUCCCCAGCUGCCAUGUCACAUAACCUCACUAAGAAGAUGAACGGCACUCUGCACAAUGCAAAAGGUCCUCCCACAACACAUCUUCCGUCUCAGACUCUGGCCUUGUGCUCUCAGAAUCUUGUCUGGAACUUGAACAUCGAGAACUGCAACUAGUGCCCGAUUUAGGAACAUCCUGAAAGAUAGACAUCAUGUAUCCAUUUAAUGCUGAAGCCCAGCUGUUUUUUAAUUAAAGUACUACAGAAGCUAUGUUAAAUACACUCAACAGCAAAACCCAACUCAAGGGAGAUUCUUGUCUUGGAUCGUGCAACUGUUUAAGCCAGCCAGAUGGCAAACAAGGGAAACAGCAGUUCUCUUUCAGACACCAGCAGCAGCAGCAACAUUUCCGGUAAAGAUUAGAGGAGACCACAAGUUACAAAAGCGUAGGGCUCAACCAUAUGGUUGCUAAAUCAAAGGUUUAACUCCGAGGAAUUACUGUUGUUUCUAUCCUAGAGAGAAGUGUUCCAAAGAACAUCCAUGGUGUUUCAUGUGUUCCAAAAGAGCAAUUUUAUGAACUUUCAAUCACACUUCCCCCAAAGGAAAUCAGAAUAGCAAUAUUCACAAAUUGUCUUCAUUCUCAGAUCACACCUGCUCAGUUUCAGAAAUGGGACUACACAAGGUGCCUCCAGAACACUCUUUACUUUUGGUAAUCAGGACAAAUAACCACUACUAGCUGGGCCGGGCGCAGAGCAUCUAUGCCUCCAGCCGGCCCACCCACCACCGCUGUCACCAUCGUCUCACCAUCCUGGGCGCCCGGCCUGGCCCACUGCCAUUGUCUCCCUGUCCCCAUUGCUAUCUCCUAGGCAGCUGCUCUCGCUAGAGCUGCCACACAUGGGAUUAGCAACAAGUACGCCUAGGAGAAAUAAAUAUAUAGAUUAUGCACUCCCAUGAACUGCCACUGUGCUCCAAAAAAAGAUGGCAAAGGAAAAGAGGUCUCAGGUUCUGUGUUGUUCCAUUGUAUUUUCAUAAAAUACUGCUGAUCCAAGUUAGGAACAGCAGUAGAAGGGAAUGAUCAUCAAGAUUGUGGGCAAUAUGUAAAUACUGAGCAAUAUGUAAAUAUUGCCCACGUAGUGUCACUCCGUUAUAUUCCAGAAACCAACUUCCUUCAAUUCUGACUACUGUAUAUGUAGUUAAUACAUUUACAUGAAAGCAGUCAAGCAACUCAACUCUAUAGUUAGAGUACACAUAUAAUUCUUAUUUAUUUGGGAGUAACCAACUUCAGAUACAUUUUUGUCUAUACUUUUGAAUAAGUGAAAAGAAUAAUACUAUGGUCAGUAUUUUAAUUAGGAAGAGUAACAUGAUAACUCAACAUGCACUUUCUUUGGACUGAGAAACCCCAUUAAACAAAGAAGUGUAGCAAAACCAGCUAGCAUUUUCUGACAUGUUAAACUUGAGAUGCAGAGUGGGACAACAGCAAAUUAGAAGCCUGGGAGACAUACCUUGCAUUUAAAAUAAAUCUGGCAAGGUUGUACUUACACACAACCCCAUUAUAACUAUUCUAAACAAGCAGAUUGUGAAUUGAAGGUCACCAAUGCUGAAUUAACAAUGUUGAUAUUGAUUUUAAUAGCUUGUUUUGGUUUUAGCAUAAGAAAAACAAACAAAGCAACAAGGAACACUUCCCCAUUAAAAACCUCACUUAUCAAUUAAAAACUCCAUUGUCUUAUUAAUUGAAACAACAUCUCCAUAGAGAGCAACUCUAAUUGCUUGGUUCAAAGGACCUACUGAAGCAAGAGUGGUAGGGGACAGAAGAAUCAAAAAAUUUGUCUGGUCAUGUCUUUUUUCCUAUGUCUGUGUUCCCAUUUGUUCUGAAAUGGGUUGUGAAAUGUAUCCUUGUCAAAACUGCCUCUGUUUAGUGUUGAAUCUAUUUCCUCUUGUUUGAUUGAACAAAAAUUGAACCCAUCUUACAAAUUUAUACACUGGAAAAGUUUGUUAUCAGUACCUUUGGUCGAUACAAUCAUAUAAGGCAGGGUUUCUCAACCUGU